rnacentral:lncRNA from 1 species
GUAACCUUUAUCUGUACCUGCAACUAGUGUUGUAGUAAUCUGUGAGCCACAGGAGACUCAGCAAUCUCAUUUCCAAAGGUAUCAAGACUAGCAAAGCUUAAUGGGUGAGGUAUGGUUAAGUGGUGAGGUUGUAGCAGCGGCUAAGCAUAUAUUUGGUGGCUAAACUUACGAGUACAAGAAAUAAUAGGGGGGAGUUCUGCACAUCGCGAACGUGACUACUGAUGAUCAAAUGAAUGAUCCUGAACACCUACCUACGUCAGGCAUAACCCC